rnacentral:rRNA from 1 species
GAUGAACGCUGGCGGCGUGCCUAAUACAUGCAAGUCGAGCGAACAGACGAGGAGCUUGCUCCUCUGACGUUAGCGGCGGACGGGUGAGUAACACGUGGAUAACCUACCUAUAAGACUGGGAUAACUUCGGGAAACCGGAGCUAAUACCGGAUAAUAUAUUGAACCGCAUGGUUCAAUAGUGAAAUACGGUUUUGCUGUCACUUAUAGAUGGAUCCGCGCCGCAUUAGCUAGUUGGUAAGGUAACGGCUUACCAAGGCAACGAUGCGUAGCCGACCUGAGAGGGUGAUCGCACACACUGGAACUGAGACACGGUCCAGACUCCUACGGGAGGAAGCAGUAGGGACUCUUCCGCAAUGGGCGAAAGCCUGACGGAGCAAAGCCGCGUGAGUGAUGAAGGUCUUAGGCCCGUAAAACUCUGUUAUUAGGGAAGAACAAAUGUGUAAGUAACUAUGCACGUCUUGACGGUACCUAAUCAGAAAGCCACGGCUAACUACGUG